AUCUAGUGGUUUUUCUUACUCUUUCUCUCAACUCAGAAGUGUAAAAACUUGAUUUUUUUAAAUCGCUAAGCCUUCAAUUCAUUCAUGUCAGCUGAAGGUCUAACAGAUUUUUGUAUUUGGGGUGCCUUUCUGGUUCUUCCUGACUUUCUCCCUCCUUAUGUUUAUCCUCAUUGUGGAAGAUGGCCACAACUCCACCAUUUCGUGCAAAUUAGAGGUGGUGCUGGGGUCUCUGGCAAGUUCCCAAUAUGUGUCUCAGAUGACUUAAAUCCUUCCCAUGGGUACAUCGACACAUUAUUGAGCAAUUACAUUCUCUUGUGGCAGUCAUCUGUGGAAUAAGUAAACUCCCUCUAUUAGCCACACAAUGAUAUCAUGCACCAUAAAUGCAUGCUUGGCCUCCAUUGUGUCAACAAUCAGUUACAUUCUCAAAGGAAGAAAAGAAAAUCUAAUUCUAAAACUACAGUGACUAAUAAACAGGUUAGUUUUAUUACUUGUUUCAGCCCUGAAUGCCAACAUUACAUUUAACUCAAGAGACUCCCAUAAAAGUAGAAGGCAUACAGGUAAGCAUAAAAUUAUUAUUUAUUUGUUGUAAAUAUAACUUUUUGGGUUGGGGGUAGAAAGGGAGUCCGAGAGAGGAAAGUAACUCACGUUUUGAUCUUUUUUCUCCACUGACUAAAUGAAAGCUACUCAUAAUUUUCUCAUCAAUCACUUUUGCAAAGCUAUGACGUACAUUGCUGAUUGUGGAUCUGCUUGCACCAGCAGCAUAUUUAUACAACAAGAGGUAAAGUCACAUUUGAAAAUUAGAUCUCUGAUUACUCCGUAUGGUACAAUAAAUAUUGCAAUUGGUCUUCCCCUUUCCCCCUUUUAAUGACACUUACCUAAAUGUUUUGUAAAGCUUUGAAAGCUUCCAAGGGCAGAGUGUAUCUAAAAAGGUGACCUAAAUUUCUGGGUACCCUUUAAUAGCAUACACCAUCUAUCAUUACUCAUAUAGCCUGUGCUUGGUUGCUUUUUUCAGCCUUUCUGUGUGUUUGUGUGUCAUUCAGUGAUGUAGUUGAGGCUGAUCACUCACAGAUAUGGUACUUUAAUAUGGUAUUUUAAUUUGCUGCCCUGUGAAGCAGCAUCCACUAAUGCCUACAUAAUGUAAAGACUGGCUUCCUAUACACAUUCAAGACAGGAUGAGGCUAGGAAGCAAAAAAACACAGGAAGUGUUUUUGCAAGGGGGAGAAUCGGGAAGGGUUUAAAGCUUCAUGCUGUCCUCAGAUAAUGUAGUGGGUUGGGACCUGUGAAUGGGAGAAGUCCAACUCUCUUUUUUGCCUGGAACACCCUGACAAUGAAGGUGGACAGUGCUGGGGUGUCCUACACACAAGGCCAAUCAGGGGUUGUUUCCCAAGGGUCUUAAUGUUCUGGCUGGGGGCAGAGGACAGAUCCCAGUGUGCUUUUCAAGGUUUUAAAGUAUUAUUCAGUCUGGAUGAAUGACUACCCUUUGCUUUGUCAUCAGAGAAUAUUUAUGACCGUCGAAGCAAGGCUUAGUUCCUGGAGACGGGAUAACGCGUGGCUUUCUGCUGCCAGACAGAGAGUUCCUUUCGGUGGUCACACCAAUGUUUUUUCAUACUCCCACGGACACCGCAACUUUUUUGGAUAAGGAAGAAGAUGAUGGAACACAGAUGAGGGAAAGAAAUGGCCUCAGAGAACUUGGAUACAUGGGGGAUCCAGUUAUUAAGUUUUGGUCCAUUGUAAGUUAUGGAAUCUUGCUAUUAGGAACAAAUCUGGAUGAAGUGGUUUAUGGAACAGUAAACCCAGGUGUGUGUGUUUGUGAAAAUUAAAGAAAUUUCAAGGGGGAAAUAAUCACACUUAUUUUAAGUGUUGAUAAAUGUUAUAUGCACUGUAGACUUCCAUAUUAAUUUAUUCUUCUAUGCAAAUAUUUUCCAUGCUUGUUUCAUUUUUUCCCACAGCAUUUUUUAAGAGCUGUGGAAGCUGGAUUUGAUGGCUUCUAAACCACCACAAUUUCUUUUCACUUGGCAAGAACCUGAGGCACUCCACAUGUGAAUGUGAGGUACGGUGAGCCAUUCUGUGGUGGUCAGUGCCAGGAAACAGUGGCUGGCAGUACUUCUCUCCAGAUGUACCAUUUGGCACAUUAAGCAAGUCUUUUCUUAGAAGGGGAACCUAUGGUUUUGCCAUGUAAUGCAAAACACCAAUGGAAUCACUACAUAAGCAAAAUGCCAGUAAUGGUAUAGUGGUCCAGCCACAAACAUUGGUGCCAUUCAUAUGUACUGUGAAGCAGCCAUCAGUCUAAAGAGCAGGAGAAAACACUGAGGAAAGAAGGGCAAGCCAGGGUAGCAACCCAAAGAUGGUGAUUUAUACAGGCCCAGGAAGCACAUCAGCAGGAAUAUGAUUUGUUGGUUUUUCUUCUAUAUCCUCCCUGUAAUAAUUGGGUUUGCUGGAAGCUGAGAAGCAAUAUCUCAAGGAGGAUUGGUUUAUUCUUGCUAUGUUUCUCGUGCACCUACUGUAGCAUCUGCUGCUGCAUUCCGUCAGCAACAGGACAUUGACAUAGCCUGUUGUUUGACCUAACCUAGCAAGCUCUUAUAUUUAACCUAGCUAGCUCUUAUAUAGUAGUUUCCUAAGAUAGAAUCUGUUUUCUCACCCACUUUAUGUCAAAUAAUCAGAGAGCAUGUUCCCUUUUCUUACUACCUCUGCCCUCCUGCAAUUCUUCUGAUGCCAUUAGUCUUAUUUCUAGUUUAUAAGAGAACUACAGCCAUAUUCUCUCAUCAGCCAGCCAGAUACACGGAAUUCCAAGGAGUGCGUGGCCUGUUCUCCCAUGGCAAUCCUGCUUCUUGAUGUAUUAGACCAGUCCUAGUACAUGUGAGGUCCUGAGUUCCCCAGCUUCUUCUGCAAAUGACCCAGGGCAAAACAUGGCUGUGAAGGUUUACAGCUACCCUUGGAGUUGAAGUGGAGAGUCACCACCGUGUUGCUGAGAGCUCCACUAUGCUGCUAAGAGCAUGGAGGGGAAACAGGAUGCGUGUUCAAGGUAAACUACUUUUUACAAAGUUAAAUACAGCUAACUAUUUCAAAUAUUUAGGCUUUUCUCACUCCCAUUUUAUGUUGCAGAAAGUGAUCCCCUCCCAGCUGUAGGGUGCCUAGGGUGGAGGGAUUGAGGUAAACUAUGAGGUUACUAUGGAAAUGUUUCUUCUUUGAGGCAAAUAUGUUAAAUGCAGCUCAAGUUUGCAUUGGCAUGUGAAUGUAACUCAAAGCACUGGCACUUCUUUACUCACCAGUAUGCUAUGACUGAGAGUGCAUCCAUGAAAGAAAUGUUGAUUAGGCAAUCAGCCUGUGUAAGACUUUUCCCUGUGGCACAUCAUCUACUCUUUGUGUUUGCUAUAUUUUCAUAAGACUUAGGUAACUGAACUUACACAUUCUUCAUUCCAAAGUCCAUUUCAUUUUUUAAUUCUUUUCAGUUUGAGGUAGCUUUUAUGGCUGGCUGUCAUUCAAAUUGCAUGUUGAAGGCAUUUUUGAGGAAACUUGAAGUUCUAGAGUGUUAAUAAAGUGUUG